CUUAUACAAAGAGCUCUCUGCCUCCAUGGUCUACCCUCCUCUUUCAACAGGAAAGCAUGGCUGGAAGGCUAUCAUUCCCUCAUUCAGCAUUUUGAGUAGGAGAUGAGAUUGGAGGCAGUGGAAAGUCAAAGUUCAGUAUGGAGAAGGCCUAUGUAUAAAG